rnacentral:rRNA from 1 species
AAUGCACGUUGGCGGCGUGGAUUAGGCAUGCAAGUCGAGCGCUCAUAGCAAUAUGGGAGCGGCGAACGGCGUAGUAAUAUGUAGGAACGUACCCUCGGGUCGGGGAUAGCCAUGGGAAACUGUGGGUAAUACCCGAUAAUCUCUGCGGAGCAAAGGUGUGAUUCCGCCUGAGGAGCGGCCUACACGAUAUUAGCUAGUUGGUAGGGUAAUGGCCUACCAAGGCUACGAUGUCUAGGGGGUGUGAGAGCAUGGCCCCCACGACCGGAACUGAGAUACCGUCCGGACACCUACGGGUGGCUGCAGUCGAGAAUCUUCCGCAAUGGACGAAAGUCUGACGGAGCGACGCCGCGUGCGGGAUGAAGGCCCUUGGGUUGUAAACCGCUGUCAGAGGGGAGUGAAAUCUUCGGAGGUGCUCCUCCAAAGUUGACAGAGCCUCAAAGGAAGCACGGGCUAAGUACGUG